rnacentral:lncRNA from 1 species
CACAUCUGUGACCUACACCACAGCUCACAGCAAUGCCGGAUCGUUAAUCCACCAAGCAAGGGCAGGGAUCGAACCCGAAUCCUCAUGGAUACUAGUUAGGUUUGUUAAUCACUGAGCUAUGACGGGAACUCCUACACCAAAAAUUUUAAAUCACAUUUUCAAAAUCUUGCCACAAUCCCAGUCCACUUUUAUUCUUUUCCCAUUCUUAUCAAAGAGCAUAUAAUUGUUUCUUUGCCUGUAUUAAAUUUACCAAGAAAUAUAUAUGCUGAGCAAUAAUAAUAGUGUCAGGGAUUUCACGGUUUAAGAAGGAAAAUGGGCCAGAACAAGACGCUGAUUCUGUUUCUUCAUGUGCCUUCCGUCUAUGGUCAUGAAAAAAAAAAAAAAAAAAAAAAAAAAAAAAAAGGCACCUUUAGGUCCAAAUGGUAAAACACUGUUUCUAGAGCUGAUAUUCACAGUUUACAUUUUCCUGCUGUAAGUUUGCCUUUACAUACAUUUGAAUUAUCAUUUCCAUUUAAAAGCAAGUGAUUUAGCAUAUCUGUCUUAUUGAGGGUUUAUAUUUUAAAGACAACUUUCUCAUUUGUCUCUCUUGCCUGCUUUUGAAAUUGAAUCCCCUGAAUGAGAAUAAGAAAAUGAGCUGCUUGAGAAAGCACUCCCCUCAAGCGCAGUGCUGAACUUCUCAGGGCACAGGCCCAGGGAGAGCCAUUCUGCCCUUGAAACCAGAGCAGGAACCUUACAAAUGCUUAUACCUGGGUCCCUUGUCUGCCUGGUUCUAUGGUGGUUUACUAAAUCAUGCAAAUUUUAAAAGUCAGUAGGUUUUAGUAAUGAUCAUUUUUCUUCAUCUUUCAGCAAUGUAAAAGCAACCAAAGUGUGAGCUCUGAAACAAAGGAUUAUUAAAGAAAAAUGAGGCAGUUCAGGAAAAAGAGCACAGUUAAACAAAACAUUCUCUAAAACCACGCACAAUUUAAAAUGUAAAUGCUGGCACUUACAGAUCUUUAUCCACUCCACACAUACUCUACAUCUGAAAUAUGUUUUCCGAACAGUAUACCUUAAGUUGGCGUUAAAGCUCCUGUUCACUGGUUAUUAAGUAAUGCUGCAUCUGGGAAACUUAGACAUUCUGUACGCAUUUAUCUGUUUAUUUUUCAAGUGCAACAUUGCCAUCUACAGGAUAGGAAAUGACAAAAUCUGACUACUCCUUUGGAGACUUGUUUGUAAUCAAAACUAGAAAUCACUGAGGUCGAAAAUGUAUGUGUCCAAAAUCAGUCCUGCCAGGCAAUGCUAUUUUGCAAAUUAUCUCAUAAUCUCACAGCUCACCCCAAAAAAGAGAAUGUAUUAAGUCGACUUUGCAGCUUCUUUAUCUUUUGAAACUGCAUUAGAGGUUUGCUCAAAGGCGCUGCCAUGAUAAAUGUUAAGGAGCAAGAAAAGCUAAUAUCAGUAGGAGGUUUUUGGUUACAUUAAAGAUGAAGCUUUGCAUCUAACAGCAAAUGCUCUUGAAGUUAGCUGGAUAUAUGUUCCCUAAACUUCCUCACAGAAUUCAAAUAACAAAUACAUCCAACAGUCUGUCUUUUAUAGAUUUCAAAUCACAAACAGAGCAAACUGACUUACUCCUAGUACAAGCAGACAACAGACAGGGAGGGUCCUUCUGAGCCUAGUAAAGUAGUCAGACUUCUUAACACUCAGAGGACAUAACAAAGGCUGUUUUGCAAAUGAAGAAACAGGCAUAGAAGGUGGUGACCUUGAAAAGCUUAGUUCAUGGUCAGGCUGCAUUAUUUUCCAAAAAAUGAGACAAAGGGAGAAACAACCUAUCUCAUUUUCUCCAUUUUGACACCCAGACUAAAAUAUGAGGGAGGAAAAAUAUAGAACAUACAAAUGGUAUUGAGAAGCUAUUCUUGACUGCUUAGUGUGACCUCAGUUCAGUUGAAAUUGGAAUUACAAUAUUUAUUAGAAACCUUGAAUGUUUCAGGAAAAGCUAUUACAAUUUCCUAGUACAUAUCUAAUCUCCUUUCCUGGAGAUAUUUUAUAUUAGGACAGAUAAUUAGCUCGCUCUAAUUUCUUAAUUGUAGCUUAUCUAGAAACUAGGAAAUGGACAUGAUAGCAUUUGUAUUACCCUACCUCCUUGUGAUUGUUUAAAUCAACUCUCAGAAGGAAGAAUUGGAAUAACAUAAAGCCAUCUCCAUAAUAAAAAAAAUCAUAUAGAAGUGUAUAAAAUUAAACUUAUUUUAUUACCAUGAUACUAACAAGAAAACAGCUGAGGAAGAAACAGUGGUGCUUUGGUGCCAAAGAAAAAGUCUCAUUAAAAUGAAAAAAACAAUCUGAAAAACUCAGGGUUUCAUUUCAAAUGUUUACUUUACAGCUUUUCAUCACACAUCCAUCAUACCCUCUGGGUACAUGAACUAAGUUUAAAUCAAAAGAUUACAGAGAAGAGAAAAAAAAAAAAAGAAAACUAGCCACAAAAUUAAUUCCUUUUAUCUCUAGUCAAUCUACCGGCAGUCACCAAACAAGGAACAAAAUGUUUACAUGGACUAAACAAGUAGCGUUUGAUCCAAAGACAUUUAUACAAAAUAAGGGGCCAAUCUUUGGCUGAAGCCAAUACACUGACCCCCUUGGAAAACCAGUUUAUAUAUUGUCCACAGCUAGCAAUAUAAAGAGGACACCCUGCUUCAUGGAAACUGCUUUCCUCAAUGUCCCCAAUGACCCCAGCAUUGUCAAAUCCAAUAGAACAUUCUUAGACAUCAUCUUACUUGACUCCAGAGCAUUUGACAUGACAUUUUUCUUCCUUCCUGAAACACGGUCUCCAUUUGGUUUCCCAUAGCAUAUUAGUUUUUCCUUCCAAAAUCCUGGUCACUUCUCUCUGCCUCUUUUGAUCCAUUGUCUUCCUCCUUGUGAUCUCUGAAUCUGGUUUACCCUCAAGGAUCAGUCUUUGAGCCUCUCCUCUGCCCUAUCCCCACUAUAUAUUUAGGUUAUUCCACUCAUCGCAUGCUUUAAACACCAUCUUUAUGCUGGGUGGCUCCAAAGUGUAUAUGGCCAGCCCCAAAUUGUACUUCAACCCUAGAUAUCUCAGUCCAAAAGCUUUUUAACAUCUCCAUUUUAACAUCUAGUGGAGCACUCAUGUUUGAAUGUUUAGAACAGAAUUCUUAUUCUCCUGCACUCCUAAUGUCUGCUUCCUUUUAAAUUAACUAACACAAAGAGAAUACUGAUAAAGGACAGAGAAGAUGGUUAAGGAAAUCAACACAGUAAAAGAACAUAAAAUCAGAAUUUCCUUAAAGAACAGUAAGGCUCAUAUGAAGGUUGAUAAAGAAGAGGGCUCACCAUCUACAUUUCUACCUACUUCACACAGCACUGACACAGCACCCACGCUUGAGAGAUGCUUAUAUAAUUUAGAGUUUAUUUAGGAAGUCUUUAUUCCACAAAUAUCCCAGUAUUCUACAUUCCACCCUCCUGAACACUAGCCCAGUAAGAAAGUCUCUCCUGAUAUUGUCAACAGUGUCCAGUGUUUUAAGAGAUGGAUUUCUUGCCCACUAUUGACUCUACUAAGAAAUGAAGGCAGCAACAAAUCGCAAAUUGAUUUAGAACCUCUGUGAGACUCAGGGAAGUAAGUGGCUGUCUGCCCAUGGCUGCUUAGGAAGAGUGUGUGUGAGUUAUCCAUAUGAUGCUUAAAAGGUUAAAAGAAGAUAAGAAACAUCAGUUGAUCUUAUUAUUUUGAAAUUUUUUUUUUAAUCAACAAUUCACUUUGUCCAUCUCAACUGUUUAGUCUACGUUAAUCAUAAAACGUGUCUUGAAGAAGGUAAUUCCACAAAAUUUCUCUGUGAAGAAAGCGUGUUCUUUAAUGUCAAAUACCUGGGAACAUCUGUGAAUUUUAUGUCCCUCUAGGAGAAACAGAGCACAGGAGCCUGUUACAGUUUCUGAUACUUCCUUAAGUAAAAAGCCCAUUUAGUUUUGUCCUGCCUAAAGUUUUUUUGUUUGUUUGUUUUUUUGACCACAGUCACCUCUUUGAGUAACACCUACUAACAUUCAAAAAAACUGCUGUCUCUUGAAACAUACCAAGGGUGCUUCAACUAUGAAGCACCAAUUAGGGAAUCUUAAAAUUAUAUGGUAAGUUGGUGGAAAUUUCAGAUUCCCUCCCGAUUAAAUUGGCAAAUAUUUUUUUAAAACCUACUAAGUAAAGUCUUUGUUCCAUAACCAGAUAUUUGAAAAUAUGCAGAAAUAGCCUCUGAGUCUCCUUUAGUUUUAAAAAUCUUUAAGAAACCUAUAAUACACCAUAAUAUAUUUUGAGAGUACACGUCAUAAACAUUUUUUACUGUGUAAGCAUUCAAAGAACUUCACUUGUAGAUAGCAGACAAAAAGUGAAUUAGCUACAUCUUCCCCAUAUAAACAUGUAACAUAUAAGCAUGUAGCAUAUAAACAUGUAGCAUAUGAACAUCUUCCCCAUAUACCUUAAAGUUAUCAAAUGCAAUCCUGGUAUUAAGAGAAAGACUACCUUAAAAGUUAUUCUCUUUGAGAUAUAUUUAGAGAAAAGAAAAUUAGAAAAAUCAAUAUUUGUAGAAAAAUAGAGAUGUCAUUGGCUGAUAAUUCCACUGAAAUAAUCAGAUCGAAAGCCUGACCUUUUAGUUAAGAAAAACAAUGUGCUGAGUUUAAUUCAAAAAAGAUGGAGUAGGAAAUCGUGGAGAUAAAUGGCUAAAGAAAAAGCUUUAGGAAAAUCACAUCUAAUUAUUCCAAGGGAACUGCUCUCAUGAAUGCCAAGACACUAGAAUAUUUUUGUUUGUUUUUUAAAACAAUGAGAAUAUGAAUACAUCUUACAUAUUUUUGGUAUUUGCUGCCUUAUAAAUACAUUCCUAUCUAUCUCCAACUCUUCCUCUAUAAAACAAGAAAUGAAACAGUGAAAAUUCAGGAAAGGACAUUUUUCAAAAAAGAACACACACGUCUUGAAGACUAGUUCAGGACACACUGAGCUAUAUUUGAUCUAUACAUAUAGGUGUGAUGGUGGAGGAGGAAUUUCAAGGUGCUAGGGUAGCAUGUAUUAUCUUCAUUAUUUCAUUUAUUCAUUUCUUCUUUUUUUCAAUAAAAUUGUUUUGAGAGACAGUCAUCAGUAUACUGCUAGGUGCUUGGGGGUAAAAUUUAUCAAAACUUUAGCAAGGGAGAGAGAGAGCUCACUAAAGUACAAGUUAGAAAGGAAUGCAUACAAUUAACAGGGAAAAUACAGCCAGACAACUGCUCCAUAAGCAAUUGAUGCACACAGAGAUUUUAAUAGAGCUGAUCUGUGACAUCUCUAAAGGACUCUUCCUCCUCUUUCCUUCUGUGAUCAUUCCCAGCUGGCUGAGGCUAGACCCAGGCAAUAAUGUGACCCUGCAAAAAAACAGCCUCUGCCUCUCUUUUGUCUCCUAAAUUUCAUGAGCACAAUUUAUUGAUUGAAUCUAAAUCAUACCCGGAAGCUUAAUAGGAAGGGAACUUAUGAUAUGUAGCGUUUAGCUUACCAGCCCCUGCAGUAAAGAGAACACAGAACACCAUGGGAAUGAAUGGAUACUGAGUCCUAAUAGACAACUUCAAAAUUGAAGUCCUUCAAAAUUAAUUAGGAAAAGACCCAUUGAGGACAAUUUAAAAAAAAAAAAAAAAAAAAAAAAAAAAAAACACUCAGAAGGCAGAAACCAUGGAGAAAACCAAAAAUCAGUGGUUACAGAGAGCAGGGUAGGGAGAAAUAACAGGCAGAGUAUGGAGGAGUUUUAGGACAAUGAAAAUACUCUGUAUGGUGUUAUAAAGAAGGGUAUAUGUAUUUAUACUUUUGUCCAAACCCUAAGAUAAAUAAUGGACUUUGAAUGAUUUCAAUCUGUCAAUGCAUGUUCAUCCUUGGUUUAAAAAAAGUACCAUUUUGAGGAGUGAUGUUGAUAAUGGAGGAGGCUGUUCAUAUGUGGGGGCAGUAGGUAUGUGGCAAGGAAGUCUCUGAGCCUUUCUCUCAAUGUUGUUGUAAGCCUAAAACUUCUAUAAAAAUAAAGUCUUUUUAAAAAGACAGAAGAAAAUGAAAACUACAAAAUUAAAAAAAAAAAAAA